GAUGAACGCUGGCGGCGUGCUUAACACAUGCCAGUCGAACGGAAAGGCCCAAGCUUGCUUGGGUACUCGAGUGGCGAACGGGUGAGUAACACGUGGGUGAUCUGCCCUGCACUUCGGGAUAAGCCUGGGAAACUGGGUCUAAUACCGGAUAGGACGAUGGUUUGGAUGCCAUUGUGGAAAGUUUUUUCGGUGUGGGAUGAGCUCGCGGCCUAUCAGCUUGUUGGUGGAGUAAUGGCCUACCAAGGCGUCGACGGGUAGCCGGCCUGAGAGGGUGUACGGCCACAUUGGGACUGAGAUACGGCCCAGACUCCUACGGGAGGCAGCAGUGGGGAAUAUUGCACAAUGGGCGCAAGCCUGAUGCAGCGACGCCGCGUGGGGGAUGACGGCCUUCGGGUUGUAAACUCCUUUCGCUAGGGACGAAGCGUUUUUGUGACGGUACCUGGAGAAGAAGCACCGGCUAACUACGUG
rnacentral:rRNA from 1 species